ACUAGCAAAAUCAUUCGGCUGCAGAAGAAGAUGGAGAUAUGGCUUGAGCUUGGAAUAUCACUUCACCAUAGAGAAACUGCUCUUCUGCCAAGGAACUAUAUAUAUAUGUAUAUAUAUGCAAGGUUGUUCUAUAACACUCUUUUGGAUUGAUGAGGAAGAGAACAAUCACUUCAUGGCCCCAAACCAACUUUACUUCAAUAGAAAGCCUUCUGAAGACAGCUAUAGGCACUUGAGAAACUGUUGAGGUUGCUUCCUUUUUUUCAGUAGAAUUGAGACACUAGGCAAAUAAAUGUCAGUGGAGUCCUAUAGAAGUUUACUAUGUCAAGUUGGUCCAAAGAUUCAAAGCCAAGGUGUUUUAGAUCCUUCCCUUGUAUUUGGAGCAUGUGGUGACUCAUCUGAAUGCCCAUUAUAAUACUUUGCCUGCAAUCAUUGGUGGGUUUUCAGGUCUUGUAUAUCUUUAAUAUGACAUGAACACGGCGUGGACAAACUCUGGAAAACUUUAAUAUGACAAGUUGUAUAAGUUGCACACCUGUAGACGAACUCCUGAAGAAAAAGAAGAACAACAUAGGAUCAGUGUGCUGGACCAACCUAACCAAAUAAAAUGGCCUCUCUUUGAUCAAUCAUCAAUUGUAUCAUCUGAAACAUUAUCAAGAGUUUUAGUCACAGAAAUCACCUCUCAUACCUAUAAUUCUUUUCUUUUUCAUUUGCGUUGCAGGUUAGGAAGCAACCUGAGGUGUUCAUCUGGACGCCUUAGAGGAGAUCACAAGGCAAAAUAUAGGAUGUUUGCUUAUAAGCUACUCAAGAUAAAGGAAGCAUGAAUCUUGACAAAGAAGGGUGGAUCCCCCAUCCAAAUGGCCUGUUUAGUUUCCAGGGAAGUUAUUAACUAUCGUAGGUUCAUCAUACUCAUUGUUACUGUUCUUGAAUCAUCAGUAUGUCUGUCUCUGGAAUAUCUUUGCAAAAGGAUUAGUUCAUUGACAUGACACAUCAUUAGGUGCUGAUCACCUUGUUUUAACUGAUAUUUCUCAUCAGAGUAUGGCAUUACAGUGUCCUGAACUCCUGAUUGCCUUGUGUACUAAUUGUGGCAUUUCGUUUUCAUUUCCUUGUCAACUAGAUUAACAAAGCAUACCUUUUGAGGCAUAUAAUAAACUUUUGUAAGAUCCGUAUUUUGUCAGUCACCUUUUGUCUCCAAAACAAAGUUUUGAGACUCAGAUCAGUUUUGGCAUUUAUCUCAGCAUUAUUGGAAACAUAAGAUUUAUGCAAAGUCCAGGGUUCAUCAUUCUCUAAUACGAGGCAAUUUAUGUCUGAACUUAUCUUACAUGCAGCAUUAGCCUUGCUGGGUACUCAAACUUUUUCGAAGUACAAAGAAAAAGGUUAUGUUGUUUCGGUCUUCAACAUUCUUGAAUCAAAUACCUUUGUCAGUGUAGAUUAUACUAAAAUUCUCUUGAUCUUACAUAAAUCUUCUUUUUUUCUGAAUCUGAAUCUGAAUCCUACUACUGCUGUUAUUAUUUAUUUUUCCUGAGAAGGAAACUUUGUGGACUAAUAAACUAGACAUAGGUCGUCAACAAAAGAAAGGCAGAUGCUUUUGGAAAAAGAAACAGAUGGUGAUGACACUGUCAAACACUAAUCAAACUAAUAUGUCUUUUUUUCUUCUUUUAGGUUCAUCACUUCCACUGGAGUGUGUGAACUUUGCAGUUCAUGUGUAUGUAGUGCAUUCCAUCCUGUUCUAAAGUAGAAAGGCAAGGCAUUUCAAUCAACUACAUGAUGAAGACUCGUAGCUUUUGGGUCAUGGCUGACCAAGUGUAGUGCUCUCAUGAUGAGGACUUGCCAGAAUCCAGCCAGCGAAGGGGAUGAUGAUAUGGUUCCUUUGCAAUCACAACAAUAUCUCAUACAUGAGGCAGAACCGAAACCAGAACCAUAUGAAAUCGGCCCGGUUUCUAUUUCAUUUUCCCUGGAACCCGUGUUUUCGGAACCGCGAUUAGCUCUAACAUGAGGUUGUA